UACGUAGGGUGCGAGCGUUGUCCGGAAUUAUUGGGCGUAAAGAGCUCGUAGGCGGUCUGUCGCGUCGUCCGUGAAACUUGGGGCUCAACCCCAAGCUUGCGGUCGAUACGGGCAGGCUAGAGUUCGGUAGGGGAGACUGGAAUUCCUGGUGUAGCGGUGAAAUGCGUAGAUAUCGGGAGGAAUACCUAUGGCGAAAGCAGUCUCUGGACCAUCACUGACGCUGAUCUGCGAAAGCUAGGGGAGCAAACAGG
rnacentral:rRNA from 1 species